rnacentral:rRNA from 1 species
GGGGAAUAUUGGACAAUGGGCGAAAGCCUGAUCGAGCCAUGCCGCGUGGGUGAAGAAGGCCUUCGGGUUGUAAAGCCCUUUUGUUGGGAAAGAAAAGCAGCCGGCCAAUACCCGGUUGUUCUGACGGUACCCAAAGAAUAAGCACCGGCUAACUCCGUGCCAGCAGCCGCGGUAAUACGGAGGAUGCAAGCGUUAUCCGGAUUUAUUGGGUUUAAAGGGAGCGUAGGCGGACUAUUAAGUCAGCUGUGAAAGUUUACGGCUCAACCGUGAAAUUGCAGUUGAAACUGGUCGUCUUGAGUGCAGUAAAGGUGGGCGGAAUUCGUGGUGUAGCGGUGAAAUGCUUAGAUAUCACGAAGAACUCCAAUUGCGAAGGCAGCUCACUGGAGUGUAACUGACGCUGAUGCUCGACAGUGUGGGUAUCAAACA